GGCUUAAACGUGCUUCCUGUUGACAACAAAAUCGCCGCUGCGGAGAACACAUGAUUAGCUUAUGGCUGCAGCCUGGUUUUGAGUGCUGUGGAGCUGCAAGAGUUUCGUAAAAUAAAUGAAUAAAAACCAAAGCAAACCGGGUUGACGGUUUUUUUUAAUCACAAGACAACUGACCUAUCUUGUCCUUUCGCUGUUUACACCGGAUCAGCCCUCCCCAAUGACAUAUUUGGCAUAUUUUUAUUGUGCAGAACUUAAGGCCCUGGGCGAUCCGGGCGGUAAAUUUGUGAGAAAUUCCCGACAGCAGACGCCCAAGAAGCGGUUGUAAGUCGCGCUACAGCACCGGAGACCCGAUACUUGACCGACAAGUGGCCCUGAGGAAGCCCCCUGUAGCUGCAGUGCUGACCCUCCAGCGAGGAUGGUGUGUGAGCUCUUCCUCCUGUCCUCCGUCUGGCUCCUCUUUGUCAUCUUCUGGAUGGAGACCAUCAGUGUCUGGCUCUUCUUGUGCAACUUCUAUCAAGACCGAGCCUUCUAUCAUUGGGGAUAUGGAGUUUUUGCAGAUGACCCAGGACACAUGCUGUACAUGUUUGGAAGGGUUGAAGGCUCUGGCCGAACACAAACAUGAAGUGAGAAGUCAACGGAAAGAAUGGAAAGGAAAAACUGAAAGAAGAAAUUGCAGUGUGCAUAGCAACGCCCACAAAACAAAACCAUUUGUGAAAUCGGGAGCUUUUAUCAUUUUUUGGGGGGAAAUCAGUACGGGAUUUGAAGCCUCUCUCUCGGAGUCUAGUCACCGCGAGAUGUUUCCGAGCAGCAGCCAAAAAGGGACACCCAAGAAUUGUACCAGAGUGGGAGGGUUUGUUGUGUGUGAUUUGAUAAUGCAUUAAAAUCAAGGCUGCCCUGCCCGUUGAGUGUUUUACAAAUCAUGGACAUUAAGGUCACCCAGGGCAUGUCUCACAAGGAUAGUGUUCAAUGUUAUAUAUUCAAGUAAAAUGGUAAAGCCUGUUUGGACCAAGUUACCAACCUUCGUGUCCUUCAUAAUGGAUUGGAGUCCUCUAUGUGAAAUGGUUAAUGUCAAUUGUACAGGUACAGCUUAGAUAGAUCUCUGUAUUUCAGGAGAUAGCCUGGCCUUUCUGUGAGACAGACCUUGAUUGAUCAUUUUGUCAGAACCAAACUGUUUUAGAGAGUGCAGAACGACAAUGUUUUAAUUAUUAUUUUAAUCAUAGUUGUAAGAUGCUGUUAUUGCAGGGACAGAUUAUGGUUUCAAGUAAGGCUACUAAAACGUAGAAUUGAGUAUCCUGUUUUUCCUAACAGUAUUGCAACAAAAACUUGACUUGAAGAGGUCUGCUGGACAGGGCAGCAACUGGAGAAAGAACAGUUUGAGCACAGUUCAUUUUUGUCUAUUAACUGUUAGAGAAUGAGCAUUAUAACAACCUGGAAAUACAGUCUGCCCUCCCUCAUUCAGUUGCACCUUUUCCUCCAUAAGAAACAUUCCAUUUUAAAUACAAAUUCUGAUCGGAGAAAAUAUAUAUAUAUUAUAUAUUAAAACAAGUUCAGAUCAGAAUUUAUGAUUUAUUUUGCCCAAGAUAAAUUUUCUUUAGACUAGACAAAAUGACCAAUAAGUAUUCAGUCUAGUUUUAAGUUAUAACCGAUUUUGAUUUCUUUGGCUACAAAGGAUAUGUGGGGACAUCAUGAACAGACCUGAUUACAGGCCAACGUCGUAAAGCAAUGUUUAAUUGUACAUAUCUGAGCGAAAGACAAGGGGCUGGUUGACUAGUGUUUAAAGGUGUGGUAUCAUACAGCCCAGUCUUUGAGGUCCUGAACACACAAUUUUGAGUUGUAAUGAUAAAACUUGCAUCCGUUAACGGUAUACCUUGCAUGCUGUGCGUUUUCAGUUCACACUAUUACACACUUUGUAGAAUUGCAGCUUGAAUAAAUGUACAAUACACUUAACUUUUUAUUUUUUAUUUUAGUUUGCCAAGCAUUACUUUAAGUGUGCUUACUUGCUGCUACAUAAAGAUGCAUACAGUUAACCCUUGUUGUUUUGUUCCUCUGUUGGGCAGUUGCAUAUGGAAAUAUUAUGUAGGUGCUAACUUGCAUAAAUGGAGUUCAAAGUCUUUCAAAUAAGACCUUGCAUGAAAGCAGUCAAUAGAGUGAGUUUUGCUCACUUUUAAUACUCAUCCGUUAUUGUAAUAGGGAACUUAGUCGGAAUUACUGUACAAUCUCAAAAUACUGUUUGUUUAAAUGUUUUUUUUUUUUUUUUUCAAGAAACAGAAUUAAAAUUCAGAUUUUCUUUUAAGGAUUGCUCAUAAUAAAAUGUAGUUAGAAAAAUAGUUGAAAUUAAAUAAAUACAGGAUACAACUGUACUUUACAUUACUUUAAAAACAUUUCUUUCAGAAAAAAAACUAACCGAAUGUAAAAUAGUUAAAAGAAUAAAAAAAAGAAUCUAUUUUCAAAGGACUUUGAAUAUGAAGCCUAACAUGUUGCAAUUCAUGAACGGCAAUAGUUAUACUGUGUAUAACUUCUUAAAGUCCUCAACGUGCUUAGAACUACAUUAAGCCUCUUACUUUAAAUGGAAUUGGGUUUGUUUUGUUCAUGUUUUUGUAAAGUGUUUUUUUUGUUUGUUUUUUUUUUCAUUGAAACUUUAUAAAACAAAUAUAAAUCAUGGUGAAUGUUUCAGUCUCCUGUACAAAAUGUAUAUCAAAAGUAAGUGUACCAGACAGACUAUUAGAUCUGUGUCUGGAACAUAUCACACUGUAAAACUUUUUAGGUUUCUGUACUUUUGGUCAACUUGAAUUGGAGAAUUAGUUUGUAUGACGAUUGUAAAAAUAUAUAUAUGAUUACAUUUUCUGUAUCUGAUACAUGCUUUGUGUUACGCAGUGCUAGAAUUUAAAAAAAAACCCACCUAAAUACAUAA